rfam:Asian citrus Psyllid, Diaphorina citri - Florida Strain, whole genome shotgun sequence.
GUCUUGGUGGUGUAGUGGUUAAGACGCUCGCCUGGUAAACAGAGGGACGCGAGUUCAAUCCCGCCCGAGGCA